GUGAGAAUCGAACUCACGACUCUCUGUUCACUAGAGAUUCUCGCUGAGAAGACGUGUAACUUUUUUUUUUCUUGUCCAUUUAACCCAAUUGCACUUCCACUCGGCUGGUUAGCCGAAAAAAAAAAAACGAUAAAUGAUAAUUAAAAAGUACUUCCUUUUGGGAUUCUUUCUAAAGUUUAUUUUAGGAUUCCUUCAACAAAUAUUGUAUAAAAAACGAGCAAAUUGUUCAGGGAUUUCUUUGAAGAAUUAUACCACUGUUUCCAGAGAUUUAUCAACGUACUUUCUAGAUAUUGUUUUAUUUAAACAACGCUACCGAAUCUUCGGGAGAUGUUAAGAUAACGACAAAUUUAUUUUCAAAGAUUCGGCUUCGAAACACUUGAACAACAAAGUCUAAUGAGAAAUUUAAUUGUAUUUUUCACAUUAAUGAAAGAAAUAUAUCUCUUUGUUCAAAAAACGCGAACAAUUUUAGAAAAUUUGGUGAUUCGAUGUAAUUUCCACAAAAACCAAGAAUGCUUCUCAGAAAAUUUUCGUUUAAUUAUCAACGUAAGGUACGAACAAAAUAAUCUAUUUUAACUUAAGAAAAUAUUAACCUUUCUCUCAAAAUAGGAUUCAGAUAAAUGGACAUUAGCGAUGCACGCAGAAAAUUUCUCUAGAGCGUGUUUUAUUUUUUUUUUUCUUAUAAGAUAUCUUUGGGGAAAUCAGCGAUGACUGGCCGUCUAGUAAAUGACAACUUUAAAGACUCUACCCUGAAAAAAAAAAACAAACUGCUUGUUUUGCUGUAGAAUUCUUUCACACAUUACUCCGAAGACCUUCCCAGCAGUUUGAUUUAUGAUUUUUUACGAACUAUCUGAGCAAUUCUGUUGGAAGUUUCGUUUAGCUAAAUUAAUUAAAUCUGGAUUGUUUCUAAAGAUUAUUUCCCUCCAAUAAUUCGUUUUAUUUUGACAGAAAAUUCUAAGUUUUUCAGAAAUUUAUCCAUUGAUUCUUCCAUUAAUUUAUCCAGAACUUUCUCUAACAUCUCCGUUUAGAGCAUCUUCAAUGAUUUGAAAUUCUUAUUUUUUUUAAUUCCAAAAGAGGUCGUCAAAGUUUUUUUUCCAAUCAUUCAUCACGAGAUGUUUCAAGGAAAAUAUUUCUGAAUUUAUGAAGAAAACUUCGAAAAAAUCCGCGAUGAAUUUCUAAUGAAAUCUAAUGAAAACUCAGUGCUACGAUUAACUACUUUUAUUCUAAACUAAUUACAAGUGGUCUGAACUCGAUCGCUGUAUUGCUAGAACUGAAGCUGGUUUUGUUUUUCUCUUCAAGCUGCACUGCACUCAAAAUAAUCCAAACGUCAUUGCUACGUGAAAAAUCACGUGAAGCAUUCCAAAUUCAUUUUACCUCCCGUUCACCUGACGAAGGUAAUAAUUACUAAUGCAUGUAUAAUCGCCAAAUGAAGACCCGGUGAUUGUUACUGUGGUUACCAUUCGCACUUACGUGGAAUUCACGUAGGCUCAUAAAUUCAUUUGGUCAUCUGCGUAUUGUGUUCAUUCUCAGUUGAGCUCAAAUUUAAAGAUGGUGGCCGCAAGCUUUUGCACGAGCUGCUGAACUUCAAAAUAACUUUUAGAUUGAUUUCAAGCUUGCGAAACGUGCAACAGCAAUUUCGAGCAAACUUGUGGAGGCACGAGAUAUUUAUGAAUGGAAUCAAGGAUCAUUCUAUGGAUGGAAGUGAAAAGCGUAUAUUUUAUUGAAAAACUCGAUUAAAUAUAAUAAAAAGUGUAAUUUCAUUAGUUCGUAUUCUUUAAAGUGGAAAUUAAAUUGCAUAAACCUAUGCAAAACAGAAUUGGUUGCUGUGCAAUUUUUCAUUAAUGAAAAUUCAUCUAGGAUCUAUUGAGACGCUUCGUAUAAGCUACGUGAAAAUUCAUGUCGUUGUUACGUGAAAUCGCGAUGGAUCUGACGAGGUCCAUUUGUUCAUGCGUUCAUUCAGUGCUACCAACGAUCCACGUCAGUGUUACGUGAAAAGUGGGAUGGAAAUAAACCACGUAUGUUUUCACGUAACAAUGACGUUUGGAUUAUUUUGAGUGUGGAGCUUUUUUCCAUCGCAGCAACCGAGGGGCGGUUGAAUGGUGACAGAACAAACUGGUAUGGAACCUUGAAUGAAAUUGUGAAGAAUCCAUUUAGAUUUUGAAAAUUUUAUUUUAAAAAAAUCGUAGCUAUAAUAUUUUGAUAAAAUAUGCUGGAGAAACUUAAUGAGCAAUACCAGAUCAAAUUUAUUGAGGAACUCUUCGUAGAGUUUAUAAUAGAUUUCAUCGAAUAAUGCUUGAAAGAGUUUUUAGAGAAAUGCGUGGAAUUAUUGUAGGAUUUCUUGGAAAAAUGCCGAAACGUUUUUAUUUUCAAAAACUCUGGAAUAAACCGUCGUGGAAAAACUCCUGUAGGAUCCGCGGGUAAUCUCCGAGAAUCAAUAGUUGGAAAAGCUGGUCAAAGAACCAGUAGAAAAAAGAUGUGGAGAAAAUCCUGCUAGGAUUUUUUCAGAGUAAUCUCUGUGAGAAUUACUGGAUGUACCAUGCUGCUUCGAAAGCCGGACAGUGGGCUUUUUCAUUAAACACGGCAGAAGCGUUUGAGUGCUCUAGGAUUUUCUGGAUCAAACUCUGAAGAAAUUCCUCUAACCAUCCCUUGAGAAAUCGCUGCGCUGGUAGCAUCCCUGAAAGUAUUCCAGAAGAAAUCUUUUGUGAAAUCCUUAGAGAUCCUGAACCAUCUCUCGGGAUCUGAGAAAAAUAUCAUUAGGAACUUGUGGAAUAAUCGCGUAAUAGUCUUUGAAGGUUUAUCUGGAGCCUUAAGAGUUUUGCACCAGUAUUCACUGCAUGUAGAUUAAGGCCUAAGAGUUACUUUAGAUACCAUUUUGAAUAAAAGACUUUUUAGAGACUUA